ACACAAAGUUACAACAGCCAAUCAACACAGUACAGUCAGACACUCCCAGCUAAGGCACACAAACCCUCCCCUCUGCCUGCGAUAUAAUUACUGAACACAAUGGGCUACCUUAAUUAUCACAGGCAGAAAAUAUACAGUUUUACCCAAAACACAGAAACCCCCCCAAAACAACAUACCCCCAUAAAUAUACAUCCCUGAAUAGCCUUGAUCUGGGUGAACAACAUAUCCAAAAAUCACCCAGAUCAGAGCAGGGCUUCAAACGUUUUAUGGAAUUUACAUUUGACUGACUGCAAGCAUGGCUUUCAUGCCCAAAACAGUUCCACAGAUUUAGGCUGUGCAGCCGGUCUAUCUUCUCCUCUAUUCUGGAGAUAAUAGGCUUAAGUGGGUGUGGUAAGCCAAUUAUCUCCAGGUACAGAAAAUAUCUCUAAGUCCAAAAACUGUUACAAAAACCUACAUAAAAAUACAUAACUCAUAUAAUACAAUGUUUAAUCUAUAUGUCCAACAUAUCCCCAGAUAGCUUGGAUCUGAGCGCUCAAUAUGUCCGAAAAGCGUUCAGAUCUCACAAAUACAGUUGGAUCGCCCUGGGGUUAAACAAUAGCAAGGGCUGAUGAGAGAUUGAGGAUGGACAAAGCAUCCAGUUUCAACUGGUCUGGCAGUGUCCCUGGGACAACACCCUGCUGGAGAACAAUGGGACAGGAAAAAGAGGAGGGGAAGAGGCACAUUCUCCCAUGGAAUCAAAGGGGCAGAAAAAGUGUUUCAAAAUCCAAUAAGCCCAAAUAGACUUUUUAAAUUGCAAUACACCCCAGGGGGCAUAGUCACAGGGCAAGAGGCUGGCAAGCAGGCCUCUCCAAAACCCAGUGGCAAGGUCGCCACACUCUGUAAUUGCACAAGGUGAGCCAAUACCAGUUUAAAGAAACAUGUUUUCCUGCCACUAUAAUCGUGAUGUGGCAUUUUGGGCCGGCUGACCGACCAGACUCUGAUCACGUUGAAAAGGUGAUUUUGCUCACCCUUUUCUCCCACCCCGCAUUGAUCUUGCUGAGCCUGGAUCCAUCUCCAAGGCCAAUCAGCAGGGACCUACUGAAGGGCAAGUUAUUUGAGUUGUACCUUCUCAGUAUUCUCUUGAAAUCUGUUUUGGUUUGUUCAUUUAACAACAUUGUAAGUUACUACAAUUUGGAUGUACGAGUCACUGAUGAUGCACAAUAUUGGUAUCAAGUCCUACAAGCGGUGCAUCAGUUUGCAUUUAUUUAAUAAAUUGUUUGGCUCAUGUAUUUGUUGUUUUGCAUAUUUAUCCCCUCCCUUUAAAGCUUGGGUAUUCCCAUUAGUAUGUUACCAUGCUAAGCCAGGAAAAAACUAAAUGUAUUCAUCGUUACCAUAAUUUUAUUUUCAAGGCUAUUAUCGACAGAAGCCAUGAUUUUAAUAUGCCACUUGGACUAUCGGGUUUGGAGCUUGUUACUGACUGGUGAUCAUGUGGCCUGGACCUACUUUUAAAGAUUUGAUAGGCUGUAAGGGCC